ACACCCGGGCAAUCGCUGGAUCACCAGAGGAAAGUCCAUGCUCGCACCAUCUGAGAUGAUGGUAGUGUUUGUGCUAGAUGAAACCAUAAAUCUAGGCAGAGAAAUCUGACGGCUGAUUAAAUCCUAAGGCGUAAGCUAUGGAUGGCGUCUUUAAAAGUGCCACAGUGACGGAGUCCUUAUCGAAAGAUAGGGAGUGGAACGCGGUAAACCCCGCAAGCGAGAAACCCAAAUUUGGUAGGGGAACUUUCAAUCGCGAAUUCAAGCGCAAGAAAGACACACGAUGUGUGUAGAUAAAUGGUUGCCCCUUCUUUUCAGAAGGACAGAACAUGGCUUAUAGGG
rnacentral:RNase_P_RNA from 1 species